rnacentral:lncRNA from 1 species
GGCAAGCCUCCAUAGCAACAGCUACCAAACAAAUGAAAAACUAAAAGAGGAGAAGGGGCUUCGUCUCCUUAUUUUUUUAAACUAUAAUUUAGAUGAAAACACCUGCUGACAAGAGUUCAGUUAGUCUGAAAAAUGGCUGAAGCGCGUGAAAAACUCGAGUUCGUGAACGCACCAUCCGGGCAAGGCUGUGAUCAGGCUGGGGUUUCAGCUCAGGAGGAGGACAGGAGACAAAGAGAAGACAGAGAAGAGGACAGGAUAAAGGGGUUGAUGAACCUACACAGAGCUCUAGAAACAUCAGUGUCAAACAUCCAGACAGCAGCCGAUGCCAAACUGUUGCUACGGCAGGCAGAGGUGGAGGAGACUCACAGGGUUUGGUAAGUCCUUUACAUCACAUGUGUCAAACUCAAGGCCCGGGGGCCAAAUCUGGCCUGUUAGAGCAGUGUUUCUCAAAUGGGGGUACGUGUACCUUUAAGGGUAUGCGAUGGAGAGAGAGAGAGAAGGG